rnacentral:rRNA from 1 species
UACGUAGGGCGCAAGCGUUGUCCGGAAUUACUGGGCGUAAAGCGUGCGUAGGCGGUUGGUUAAGUCUGUCGUGAAAGCCCUGGGCUCAACCUGGGAAUGGCGAUGGAUACUGGCCAGCUAGAGUGUGAUAGAGGAUGGCGGAAUUCCCGGUGUAGCGGUGAAAUGCGUAGAGAUCGGGAGGAACAUCCGUGGCGAAGGCGGCCAUCUGGAUCAACACUGACGCUGAGGCACGAAAGCGUGGGGAGCAAACAGG